rnacentral:lncRNA from 10 species
GUUUUCUAUAUGUAGUAAUGUUCUCUCCAUCUAACGUCACACCUGCUUUGUUUAGGUGAAGCGUGGCUUGGGAAGGGAACAGGGGAGAAGAGCAGGGGUACAGGAAGCAUAGUUCUGACAAUGCUGCUCCUAGCUCACCUGUCACUGUUCUCAACCCCAGAGCCACCUUACUCCAAUACCUAGAAAGUGUCUGUUCCAGCCUUAUGGGGACAGCUCAAAACCAUGGCAACAAACAAGUCUCUUUGAGCGCCUGACAUAAGCCCAAAAGACAUGUUUUGAUGAAGGUAAUUUCAUCAGUGCAGACAGGCAACCUGGAAAACUUAGUCUCAUUUCCACUAAAACAACUUUCUUUGCAAAAGGAUAUUUCUGUCAGAUGAUGACCUAAAUUUCCCUCCUUGGCUCACUGUGGAAGGUACAGGCUUGCCACGUCUAUCUCCACUCAGGACAAGUAACAAGAUGGCCAAACUGAGGGUACAGUUCUGACACCAUCUGGGUGGCCUGGCAGUCCUCCUUCAGGUCAACCUGCUGGAAAGUGAGCUCUGCAAGCUCCAAUCACCACAAUGGCCUUCGUGACCAAUCUUCUGCUUGCUGGUUGAUGAUGUUGGGGAGCCUCAUCUUUUGCAGAGAAUGGAAGUUGGGGGGACAAAAGGAGCUCAGGCUGUGGAGUUCAUGCAGGACAGGACUGUGCUGGUGCUGCGUGACGGCACAUUUCUGCUGACGGCCCUGAACUUUCAGACAGAUGCUCUGUGAAUCAGGCGAGAGGGAAUCUUUAAUUAACGCCUUAAGACUGGGAAUGGAAACAAAGAACAGGAAGGUUGUAAGAUGGAUCUGGCUGUCAAAACAAAAUGAAACAAAAAUCCCAACAUGCUCUGCCCCAGCAAGCAUCACUCUGUCCUACACUGGGCUCUCGCCCGCUCUCAUGCAGAAAUAAGGGCCUGGAACUGGAGACCACAGAGGACAAUUUAAUAUGGAAGAAAGCAAUGAAACAACUUUCCACAGAAAUUCUCUACCCAGAGCACCCUAGUGCCUCAUUCCUGCCUCUAUCAUUAGAGCUGCUUUCAAAUCCCCCAUGAUCUUAAAGUCCCUUGGAAGGGCUUGAAAGCUUCUCAGGUAAUUAUGGCCUUGUGAGAAACAAUCAAGCUGGAAAAAAGGUAUUUCUAAAAGAAUCCCUAAAGUAAACCCCCGCCAUUGUAUCUGUUCUUUAGAGCUAUAAGAGAAAUUCAUGUUACACUUUAGGGAAACCUCUUUGGUAAAAUAGCUUGAAUGUCACAGCCCAAGGCUAGAAUUCUUUCUUUAGGAAAUAAUAUAUUUCAGAAUCAGAAUAUGACUUUGAACACAGCCUGGUAAAUCGUUUUGUACAACAGAGAAAUGUUAGCACCUGAGUUCAAGGACAGCUGAGACUUUAGUGCUUUUUUUGUACAUCCUUCCUUGUUCAGAUUGCUUGCUGCCCUUCUUUCUGAUACACUGUGUUCUAUUCCUCUUCUGAAAACUCAUCUAAAACUUGAUUGUUUAAAGCAAAUAUGUAUUGAACACUUACUAUCUGCAAGGUAUUGUCCUAGUUGCUGCAGAUACAGACAUAACUUUAAAAAGCAAAAUCCCUGUCUUCAUAAUAGAAAAUUUGCUAUUUUAAUUUCUCAAAACCCAAUUGCUCCAUUAAAGGUGCACAUUUACACAAAAAGAAUAUGCACUUGGCUCUGUCUUACUUCUCUGCUCCUUCCAGGUAUGCUGUCCCGUGUGCCCCUGACUGUCCAUUCCCUGCGGUGCAGAGACUGCAGCCUCUUUUGAUUUCUCUCAGUGUCAAAUACAAAGCCCUGCUCACCACAGCUACUCAAAAUCCAGGCAUUCAGAUAUUAUCUAAUCUCCCUAAAUGGCAUUUUUGUGACACACAGAGUGAGUGCUGUUGUCUUGCUAUUUUAUAUGCUUGAAACUUGAGUCGGCGUUCUUAAAUUGAUUGGCCAAGAAAACAAAGUGGUCAAGCUGAGACAAGAUCAUGAAUCUUUGGUUUUCCAUUCAAAUUACAGAGCUAAAGAAAAAAAGAAAUGGAGAUUUUCCUUCCAAGCUUACAAAAACUGCUUUAACUAAGUAUGAUUUUAUAAGAUCCCAAGCCAAUUGAAAUAUUGUCAUUUGUAAUAAUAAAACCUAUAUAUGAUUAGCA